rnacentral:rRNA from 1 species
CAGCCGCCGCGGGAAUACGAAGGGGGCGAGCGUUAUUCGGAAUCACUGGGCGUAAAGCGUGCGUAGGCGGUCCUAAAAGUUAGGAGUGAAAGCCCAGGGCUCAACCCUGGAAUUGCUCUUAAAACUAUAGGACUAGAAUUCGGGAGAGGAUAGCGGAAUUGUCAGUGUAGCAGUGAAAUGCGUAGAUAUUGACAGGAACACCAGUGGCGUAAGCGGCUAUCUGGACCGACAUUGACGCUGAGGCACGAAAGCGUGGGGAUCAAACAGGAUUAGAUACCCCCGUAGUCCCUGUCUCUUAUAC